ACUUCACCUGCUUCAGUGUGAGACUUCACCUGGACAAUAUUUGGUCAAUCUCUCAGUGUUUUUCCCGUAGUUUUAACCAGGUCGAAUACUUUUCUAGGGUUACAGACUUUGACGGUCACAGUUCUCGGUGUAACACCGUAGCUGAGCGUGGGCAGGCGAUGGGAAGGAGGGGCACCCGUGUUAUUCCAGGUCAAUCAACGCAGAGCAUGUGGAAAGAAACGCGCAACGCCCAAACAGCCUGUUCAGGUGAAAGGCCUCCAACGCUAAUGCACUGUUGGCUUCACUCACAUGCAGGCACAAGAACGCAGUGAGUCACACAUGCGCGCACACACACACUCGCACACACGCAAGCACACGCACACACGCACACACACACACACACACAGCAUACAUGUAAUUCCCCCAAAAAAUAUACACGCUGCGGUACAGAGUGGUUACCUGCUGCUACGCCUCUCUAACAGAACCAGCCACACACGCAGACAUCCCGCUUCCUGAAACACAAUGGCGUUCUGCACGUAUCUGUGGCCGGUUUAACACUGCCAAGAUGAAACCCCCAUUGAAUCCUUAUACUCAACCCUCCCACACAGACUCAACCCCAGUGAUUACUGCUCACCUCUAAUGCUCAACCCUAGUGGUUGCUGCCUGCAUCCACCCUUCAUUGCUACUGCUGGGUACUAGCUGGUCCACAGAUACACUAUAUGACCAAAAGUAUCUGGACACCCCUUGGUCUGGGGCUGUUUUUCAUGGUUUGGGCUUGGUCCCUUUGUUCCAGAGAGGGCAAAUCUGAAUGCAGUGACAUUUUAGACAAUUCUGUGCUUCCAGCCUUGUGGCAACAGUUUGGCGAAGGCCCUUUCCUGUUUCAGCAUGACACAUAUAGACAUAGUUUUUGUCGAGAUUGGUGUGGAAGAACUUGACUGGCCUGCACAGAGCCCCGACCUCAACCCCAUCCAACACCUUUGGGAUCAGGUGGAAAGCGAACUGAGAGCCAGGUCUAAUCACCCAAUCAGUGCCCCACCUCACUAAUGCUCUUCUGGCUGAAUGGAAGAAAAUCCCUGCAGCAAUGCUCCAACAUCUAGUAUGAAGCCUUCCCAAAAGAGUGGAGGUUGUUAUAGCAGCAAAGGGUGGACCAACUCCAUAUUAAUGCCCAUAAUUUUGUAUGUGAUGUUGGAUGGUGUCCACAUACUUUUGGCCAUACACUGUAUGUGUCCUGAGCAGCAUAGGGAGGGUGCUGAGUGGGGAGCAGUCAGAACUUGUAGGUUGUAAUGAAGCUAUGACAGACAUGCCUGUAGGCAAUACCUUAUUAUCUAUACGCUUUUAAAAAAUGCAUUCAUUUAGCAGGCAAUCACCCAGGGCAGCUAGAUGUCCGUUAGAUAAAAAAAAAAAGAUAUAUUUUUUUUCUAUUCAACAAACACGUCGACUAAAACUGAGAUGUUUGGCCUUGUUUUCUGUCCCGAACUAAUUAGCGUGUUUUAUCUUGCUCUGUUAAACGGACGCCCACGGAGCGCCGCAGACGGGCGAGCGGUGCGGUAAACUCGUUUACCUUGGCGAAGGCCUUCCCGCGCUUCCCCUUUUCAGUGUGUACAAUCGCUGUCCUCGCAGGAGCGGCACGGAGGACGGGCGAAAGAGCCGCGCGGCCUCGCCGAUGACGGAACCGCCGCGCGAAAGACGAGCGCGCUCCUCGACGGGAGAACGGGUGUCCGGGAUUGUCUUAACACCCCUAAAAGCGUCUCCGGGGCGAGGGGGAGGAGGGGUUUCACAGCUUUGCACGCGCGGUUAAAGGCUAACCACGAAGCCAGGCUGAUGAAUAUUUAAAGAGAGAGGGACGGAGGGAGAGA